UCCGUAGGUGACCUGCGGAAGGAUCAUUACAAAAUGAGGAGAUGCCACUGCUGCUCCCCAUCAUCUUCAUUCACUCUGGGUACCUUUUCCUGUUGCUUCCGUGGGGUUCGGCAGGUUGCGUGUGGUGCUGUACGCCCUCACUGAUAUCUGAUGUCCGAUCACGCCCCACGGGAGGGAAUAAUCCAAACGCAUCGUGUUUUACUCAUGGAAUUCAGUCUGAGCUUGUUUUGAGCAAUCAUUAAAACUUUCAGCAACGGAUCUCUUGGUUCUCGCAUCGAUGAAGAACGCAGCGAAAUGCGAAAAGUAGUGUGAAUUGCAGAAUUCAGUGAAUCAUCGAAUCUUUGAACGCACAUUGCGCCCUGCAGCAUUCUGCGGGGCAUGCCUGUCCGAGCGUCAUUGCCAACAAAAUCAAGCUGUAGGCAGCUUGGUCAUGGUGGAUGAGUACUGUUGUAGGUUCUCACCCCUGAAAUUGAAUGGCGGAGAUUCAGCUGCCACCGUGAGCGUCGUAUGUGCAAGACACUCGCUUCGGUGGCCAGCGGAGUCCUGCCGGUCACCCCCACACUAUUGAAAGUUGACCUCGGAUCAGGUAGGGAUACCCGCUGAACUUAAGCAUAUCAAUAAGCGGAGAAA
rnacentral:rRNA from 1 species